rnacentral:rRNA from 1 species
CACGUGAGCAACCUGCCGUUUGGUGGUGGGGGAGUAGCCGGGCUAACGCCCGGGUAAUACCGCAUACGGUUGCCGAGGGGAGCCCUUGGCAAAGAAACCUCCGGGGCACAGAGAGGGGCUCGCGGCCUAUCAGCUAGUUGGGGGGGUAAUGGCCCACCAAGGCGACGACGGGUAGCUGGUCUGAGAGGAUGGCCAGCCACAUUGGGACUGAGAGACGGCCCAG